AAUGAACGCUGGCGGCAUGCCUAACACAUGCAAGUCGAACGGCAGCAUGGGUUCUUGCGGCUCGUGGCGAGGGACGGACGGGUGAGGAAUACAUCGGCACAUGUCCUCUAGUGGGGGAUAGCCCGGCGAAAGCCGGAUUAAUACCGAAGACGAUCUACGUGUGUAAGCGGGGGCCCUACGGGCCUCGCCCGUUCGGGAUGGCCGAAGGCUGAUUAGCUAGUGUGGGGGGUAAAGGCCUACCAAAGCGGCGACCGGAAGCCGGUCUGAGAGGGAGGCCAGCCACACUGGGACUGAGACACGGCCCAGACUCCUACGGGGAGCCGCGGUGGGGAAUUUUGGACAAUGGACGAAAGCCUAAUCCAGCAAUGCCGCGUGUGUGAUGAAGGCGUUCGGGUUGUAGAGCGCUUUAGUCCGGAGAGAAGUACAUCGCCCUAAUACGGUAGGAGAAUGACGGUACCGGAAGAAUAAGCACCGGCUAACUACGUG
rnacentral:rRNA from 1 species